rnacentral:lncRNA from 1 species
AGAAAGGCUGCGAGGCCGGAGCUGAGUGUGUGAGUGCCUGUGUGGAGCAGCUUAGGGAGCGAGGUGCUAAGACAACCCAGGGCCGCGGUAGCGAGGAAGGGAACUGCUCUGGAGCUAUGAGCCGGGCGACUGGCCGUGGGGCCUUGCCCAGGCUGCGCCGGGGAGAGCAGGCGGCUAAGAUGCCGGGUCGCUGCGUGGGGCCCAGCAGGUCGGGGCGGGGAGUUCGGCGGCCGUGGGGGAAGAGACGGGGCGCAGGGACGUCCCGGGGCCGUGGUGCAAGGCGCCGGGCGAGGUCCUUGGAGUGGCAGUCGCGCUGUGUGAGUGCAGAAAGGGCGCAGGGCUGUCAGCGCCCGUGGGGGACGAGACAAGCGGCGGAGAGAGCCGAUGCCGCCGGGGCGAAUGAAGCUUUGGAAGCUCCUGGCCCCCCAGGCUCCAUCGAGGCUGCAAGGGACCCUGGGGCUGUGUGGGUGAAUGGGGCUGCUGGGGAGCCCGAGGUGGUGGGGCCUGCCGGGGCUGUGUGGGUGACCGGGUCUGGGGAGGAGGAGGCCGAAGAUAGGAGUCCCCGGGGCUGCGAGGGAAAAGGUCGCCCAGGAUCUCUGGGCCAUGAGAGCAUUCUGCACCUGUGGCUGAAGGUGCAGGCUAUGAGGGCCGCCUCGGGAUGUGGGGAAGGAAGUAGAGUCGAGCUCCAUCCCGUGCCUGUCGGAGAGGGACCUGUCGAAAGGGGUGUUCCUGGCCGAGCUUCCUGGGUAGAGACAAGCCGUGGUGGUCUUACAGGGCCCUGGGUGAAGGGCCAGGCAAGGGGGAUCCCUCGGGCCCCCUCAGGGCCUACAGUUCUGGGCUUAGGGGCAGCUUACGAGAGAACCUUAGGCUUCUGUGGACAGGGACAGGCUGGGAGGGUGCCUCCUCCUGUGAGUGUGCCUGGGGCUCUGGCGUCAGGUUCUGAGAUGGCCCCGCACCUGUGGAGGGGACAAGCUGUGGGGAUUCCUGGGACUGGGGAGGAGAUAGGCUAUGGGCUUGUCCCAGGCCCUUGUGAAAAAGAACAGGCUGUGGGCGAGCCUGGGACCGUGGGGUGGCCUGGGGCUGUGGGAGCGCCCAGAGCCGUGGAGGGAGAGCUCGGCUGCGGGGGUGCUGCAGGGCUGUGGGGGAGAGGACAUUCCCCGCAGAUUCCUGGGGCUCUGGCACAUGAAGCAGUCUGUGGGGCCACCCCUGGCGUAUGGGGGAGGGGACAGGCCGUGGGGGUGUCCGAUGCUGUGGAGGAGGAGCCUACUUCUGUGGGUGCCGCAGGUGUGUGUUACAGGAGACAGGCUGGGGAGGAGACAGACUCUGUGGGUAUGCCUGGCCCGUGGGGCACGGGACACUCUGUUGGGGUGCCCUGUGCUACUGAAGAGGAAACUAGAUGUGGAGGUGACCCAGGGUUCAGGGAAAGGGGACAGCCUGUGUGGGUGGAGACAGGCUCUGGGGGUGAUCCAGGGUCACGGGGAGCUGCACAGACUGCAGAGCCAUCAUGUCCUGGGGAGCAGGCAGCAGGUUCUGGGGGUGCCCCAGGCCUGUGGGGGAUAGAACAGGCUACAGGGGUACCCAGGGCCUUGGGGAAGGACACAGGCUGUGUGAAUGUCCCAGGACUGUGGGGAGCGGGACAGGUGGUAGGGGUGCCCCAGGCUGUGGUAGUACGUGGAGCCCUGGGAGAAGAGCUGAGCCACAGCGGGGCCCUGGGCCUGUGGGAUGGACAGCAAGUUCUUGCGGGGCCCCCAGCCGAGGCAGUUCCUGGGCUUGGAGAGGAGACCUGUGGUGGGAAUGUCCUGAGCCUGUGGGAAAGGAGGCAGGCUGUGGGGGAGCCAGAGAGUCUGGGGCCUCCAGCUUUAGGGGUCCCUGGGUCUGUGGAUCAGGAGGCUGGCUAUGGAGUUGUUUCAUGUCUGUGUAGGAGGAGGCAGGCUGUGGGGGUGUCUGAGACGGUGGGCAUACCCAGGGCAGCAGAUGUGGCCCAGCACAGGUGUGCCACAGCAGGGGUCCCCGUGGCGCUGGGUGUGCCCGGCUCUGGAAAGGCGCCUGCCGGAGUGCCCGCUGCUGUGUGGGCGUCUGGCCCUGUGUGUCAGGAAGGCAGCUCCAGAGACAUUUGGAACCUGUGGGAAAGGGCUCGGGCUGCCAGAAUCUCUCUGGCUUCAGGGGGACCUGUGGCUCGGGAGGAGCUGUGGUCUGGCGGGGAGGAUUGUGAUUCUGGGGCCUUCUCGGGCCCAUGGGGAAGGAGACAGACUAUUGGGGUUUCUGUGGCACCUGAGGGGCCUGGGCUUGGGGAGGAGACUGACUCUGGGGGUAUCCCAAGACCUUGGGGACGGAGACAGAGGGUAAGGACUCCUGUGGCCACCGAAGUGCU